rnacentral:lncRNA from 1 species
GUGACCUGUGACAUUGCAGGGCAGGAAUGAGAGCUGCUCUUCAUGAAAAAGGAACCUCAAACGCACUCACCUACCCCUUACCCUGGGUUCUGUGCACCUGUGGCUCCAUUUAUGACUUGCUUUGCUCUCUUCCCUAAUGGAAGUUACUCCCAGGGAAAAGUGACCUUCCCUGGGGGCUGGUACCAGAGAUAGGUCCCCAAGGCUGCCUUCAUCGGAGUGCACCCUCCCAGUCACCAUCAGUCCUGCCUGCUGGCUCUCCUCCCUCCCUCCUGCAGCAGCCUGCGGUUGCCAUGGCAUUGCUGGACUGUCUCCACUUCCUGUUAGAUUGAUUCUGCUGCAGUGCCAGAGAUGCUAAUGGUUCAGCUCAGAUAUGUGGUCAUCCUCUCUUCCUUCAUCAUUGACUGGUUCAUUUGUGAAGAAUAAAUUGUGAGUAAAGAACUCUUAUGGAACACAAAUUACCUAAACGAUUAUAGUUACUGGUAUCAUUUUCUUUUUAAUUUUAUUUUUAUUUUUGAGGCAGGGUCUCCCUCUGUCAUCCAGGCUGGAGUGCAAUGGUACAAUCACAACUCACUGCAGACUCGAUCUCCUGGGCUCAAGUGAUCCUCCCGCCUCAGCCUCCCAAGUAGCUAGAACUGCAGGCAUGCACCACCAUGCUCUGCUAAUUUUAAUUUUGUGUAGAGUUGAGGUCUCACUAUGUUGUCCAGGUUGGUCUCGAGCUCCUGACCUCAGGUGAUCCACCUACCUUGGCCUUCCAAAGUGCUGGGAUUAUAGGCAUGAGCCACUGUGCCUGGCCAAUUUUUAAUUUUUUAAAUUGACAAAUAAAAAUUGGUUUAUUUGUGGUGUACAACAUGAUGUUUUGAACUAUGUAUACAUUGUGG